rnacentral:rRNA from 1 species
AUUGAACGCUGGCGGCAGGCCUAACACAUGCAAGUCGAACGGUAACAGGAAGAAGCUUGCUUCUUUGCUGACGAGUGGCGGACGGGUGAGUAAUGUCUGGGAAACUGCCUGAUGGAGGGGGAUAACUACUGGAAACGGUAGCUAAUACCGCAUAACGUCGCAAGACCAAAGAGGGGGACCUUCGGGCCUCUUGCCAUCGGAUGUGCCCAGAUGGGAUUAGCUAGUAGGUGGGGUAACGGCUCACCUAGGCGACGAUCCCUAGCUGGUCUGAGAGGAUGACCAGCCACACUGGAACUGAGACACGGUCCAGACUCCUACGGGAGGCAGCAGUGGGGAAUAUUGCACAAGGGGCGCAAGCCUGAUGCAGCCAUGCCGCGUGUAUGAAGAAGGCCUUCGGGUUGUAAAGUACUUUCAGCGGGGAGGAAGGGAGUAAAGUUAAUACCUUUGCUCAUUGACGUUACCCGCAGAAGAAGCACCGGCGAACUCCGU